rnacentral:misc_RNA from 2 species
AAGUCGUAACAAGGUCUCCGUUGGUGAACCAGCGGAGGGAUCAUUACCGAGUUUUCAACUCCCAAACCCCAUGUGAACUUAUACCAUUUACAACCGUUGCUUCGGCGGGUUCUCGCCCCGGGCUUUACACCCCGGAACCAGGCGGCCCGCCGGGGGACCCAAACUCUAGAUUUUUAUUUUAGCAUGUCUGAGUGGAAUCAUUACAAAAUGAAUCAAAACUUUCAACAACGGAUCUCUUGGUUCUG